rnacentral:rRNA from 1 species
GACGAACGCUGGCGGCGUGCUUAACACAUGCAAGUCGAACGGAAAGGCCCUGCUUGCAGGGUACUCGAGUGGCGAACGGGUGAGUAACACGUGGGUGAUCUGCCCUGCACUUCGGGAUAAGCCUGGGAAACUGGGUCUAAUACCGGAUAGGAGCCAUUUUUAGUGUGAUGGUUGGAAAGUUUUUUCGGUGUAGGAUGAACUCGCGGCCUUUCAGCUUGUUGGUGGGGUAUUGGCCUACCAAGGCGGCGCCGGGAAGCCGGCCUGAGAGGGUGGACGGCCACAUUGGGACUGAGAUACGGCCCAGACUCCUACGGGAGGCAGCGGUGGGGAAUAUUGCACAAUGGGCGCAAGCCUGAUGCAGCGACGCCGCGUGGGGGAUGACGGCCUUCGGGUUGUAAACUCCUUUCGCUAGGGACGAAGCUUUUUGUGACGGUACCUAGAUAAGAAGCACCGGCUAACUACGUG